rnacentral:rRNA from 1 species
UACGUAGGCAGCGAGCGUUGUUCGGAGUUACUGGGCGUAAAGGGUGUGUAGGCGGUUGUUUAAGUUUGGUGUGAAAUCUCCCGGCUCAACUGGGAGGGUGCGCCGAAUACUGAAUGACUUCGAGUGCGGGAGAGGAGAGUGGAAUUCCUGAUGUAGCGGUGAAAUGCGUAGAUAUCAGGAGGAACACCGGUGGUGUAGACGGCUCUCUGGACCGUAACUGACGCUGAGACACGAAAGCGUGGGUAGCAAACAGG